GGAGGUGGCCAGGCGCCUGGUGCCAUGCGGACGGCGGACCACUCACACUUGACCUCUGAGAAACAGCGGCACCCG